AAAAGGAGACUUAACUUUUCAGGAAUUUCAUCCAGUUACAAAGGUCUCAUCUGUGCACAUUCCCAGGAAGGAUGCUGUGGAUGAAUACAUAAUGAAUGCAACUAGUCUUUUUGUUUCCCUAAGCAGCAUCGCAGGUCCAGCAUUUGGAUGUGGGAGAGAGGCUGUAGGGGCCAGUAGGGAUGCCAUUGCCCACCACCAGGGCACUCUGAAUGCACCAGCUGCACCAGAGGUGCACCAUGGACAGGACCAUCCUCCUCCAGUGGCUGGUAGCAGUGGCCAA